rnacentral:rRNA from 1 species
AUUGAACGCUGGCGGCAGGCUUAACACAUGCAAGUCGAGCGAGCGGCGGACGGGUGAGUAAUGUCUGGGAAACUGCCUGAUGGAGGGGGAUAACUACUGGAAACGGUAGCUAAUACCGCAUACCAUCAGAUGUGCCCAGAUGGGAUUAGUUAGUAGGUGGGGUAAUGGCUCACCUAGGCGGCGAUCCCUAGCUGGUCUGAGAGGAAGCACAGGCACAAUGGAACAGAGAAACGGUCCAGGCUCCUACGGGAGGCAGCAGUGGGGGAAAUUGCACAAUGGGCGCAAGCCUGAUGCAGCCAUGCCGCGUGUGUGAAGAAGGCCUUAGGGUUGCAAAGCACUUUCAGGGGGGAGGCGUUACUCGCAGAAGAAGCACCGGCUAACUCCGUGCCAGCCGCCGCGGUAAUAC